rnacentral:rRNA from 1 species
UAGGGAAUCUUCCGCAAUGGACGCAAGUCUGACGGAGCAACGCCGCGUGAGUGAAGAAGGAUUUCGGUUCGUAAAACUCUGUUGUUAGAGAAGAACAGCGCAUAGAGUAACUGUUAUGCGUGUGACGGUAUCUAACCAGAAAGCCACGGCUAACUACGUGCCAGCAGCCGCGGUAAUACGUAAGGUCCGAGCGUUGUCCGGAAUCAUUGGGCGUAAAGGGUACGUAGGCGGGUAAGCAAGUUAGAAGUGAAAUCCUGUAGCUCAACUACAGUAAGCUUUUAAAACUGCUCAUCUUGAGAUAUGGAAGGGAAAGUGGAAUUCCUAGUGUAGCGGUGAAAUGCGCAGAUAUUAGGAGGAAUACCGGUGGCGAAGGCGACUUUCUGGCCAUAAUCUGACGCUGAGGUACGAAAGCGUGGGUAGCAAACAGG